rnacentral:rRNA from 1 species
UUCAAGUCGAGCGAAUGGAUUAAGAGCUUGCUCUUAUGAAGUUAGCGGCGGACGGGUGAGUAACACGUGGGUAACCUGCCCAUAAGACUGGGAUAACUCCGGGAAACCGGGGCUAAUACCGGAUAACAUUUUGAACCGCAUGGUUCGAAAUUGAAAGGCGGCUUCGGCUGUCACUUAUGGAUGGACCCGCGUCGCAUUAGCUAGUUGGUGAGGUAACGGCUCACCAAGGCAACGAUGCGUACCCGACCUGAGAGGGUGAUCGGCCACACUGGGACUGAGACACGGCCCACACUCCUACGGGAGGCAGCAGUAGGGAAUCUUCCGCAAUGGACGAAAGUCUGACGGAGCAACGCCGCGUGAGUGAUGAAGGCUUUCGGGUCGUAAAACUCUGUUGUUAGGGAAAACAAGUGCUAGUUGAAUAACUGGCACCUUGACGGUACCUAACCAGAAAGCCACGGUAACUACGUGCCAGCAGCCGCGGUAAUACGUAGGUGGCAAGCGUUAUCCGGAAUUAUGGGCGUAAAGCGCGCGCAGGUGGUUUCUUAAUUCUGAUGUGAAACCCACGGCUCAACCGUGGAGGGUCAUUGAAACUGGGAGACUUGAGUGCAGAAGAGGAAAGUGGAAUUCCAUGUGUAGCGAUGAAAUGCGUANAGAUAUGGAGGAACACCAGUGGCGAAGGCACUUUCUGGUCUGUAACUGACACUGAGGCGCGAAAGCGUGGGAGCAAACAGGAUUAGAUACGCUGGUAGUCCACGCCGUAACGAUGAGUGCUAAGUGUUAGAGGGUUUCCGCCCUUUAGUGCUGAAGUUAACGCAUUAAGCACUCCGCCUGAGGAGUACGGCCGCAUGAUGAUACUCAGAGGAGUUGACGGGCCGCCCGCACAAGCGGUGGAGCAUGUUGUUUACUUCGCAGCAACGCGAACAUCAUUACCAGGUCCGACAUCUCUGACACCCUAGAGAUAGGGCUUCUCCUUCGGGAGC